CUAUAGAAUAAACUUAACUCAAGAAGAAGAGGACAGUAUGAGGGAAAAAAACGAAGUUUUAGACCACAAAUAGUUACUUUAAAAUUAUUUUAUUAAAAGAAGCUGGAAAAUGAAAGCCUCGGUAAAUUGGUGGCUGUGCAGCGAUUAAGGGAGUGAUCAGAGCGGCUGAUUGCAGACCACUCACCUGUCCUCAUCCCAGAGGUCGGCGUCAUCAGGCUGCCCGGACAAACGGCUGCUGUCGCUCGUGCUACCAGAUGGCUAAUUGAACGCCCCGUGGCUUUCAGCGGGGAGAUAGAGGAGAUGAAAAAAAAGGAAGAGCAUCUCAGGGUUCUUGGCAAACAACGGUGACAGGGGCCGCCAUCUUUCCUGGAAGCCAACUGGAGGGCAAGUCA